rnacentral:rRNA from 1 species
GAUUAACGCUGGCGGCGUGCUUAACACAUGCAAGUCGAACGGUGAAGCAGGAGCUUGCUCUUGUGGAUCAGUGGCGAACGGGUGAGUAACACGUGAGCAACCUGCCCCUGACUCUGGGAUAAGCGUUGGAAACGGCGUCUAAUACUGGAUAUGUGAUGUGACCGCAUGGUCUGCAUCUGGAAAGAAUUUCGGUUGGGGAUGGGCUCGCGGCCUAUCAGCUUGUUGGUGAAGUAAUGGCUCACCAAGGCGUCGACGGGUAGCCGGCCUGAGAGGGUGACCGGCCACACUGGGACUGAGACACGGCGCAUAGUCCUACGGGAGGCAGCAGUGGGGAAUAUUGCACAAUGGGCGGAAGCCUGAUGCAGCAACGCCGGGUGAGGGAUGACGGCCUUCGGGUUGUAAACCUCUUUUAGCAGGGAAGAAGCGAAAGUGACGGUACCUGCAGAAAAAGCACCGGCUAACUACGUGCCAGCCGCCGCCGUAA